rnacentral:rRNA from 1 species
GACGAACGCUGGCGGCGUGCUUAACACAUGCAAGUCGAACGGAAAGGCCCUGCUUUUGUGGGGUUCUCGAGUGGCGAACGGGUGAGUAACACGUGAGUAACCUGCCCUUGACUUUGGGAUAACAUCAGGAAACUGGGGCUAAUACCGGAUAGGAGCUCCUGCUGCAUGGUGGGGGUUGGAAAGUUUCGGCGGUGGUGGAUGGACUAGCGGCUUAUCAGCUUGUUGGGGAGGUAGUGGUUUACCAAGGCUUCGACGGGUAGCCGGCCUGGGAGGGUGACCGGCCACAUUGGGACUGAGAUACGGCCCAGACUCCUACGGGAGGCAGCGGUGGGGAAUAUUGCACAGUGGGCGGAAGCCUGAUGCAGCAACGCCGCGUGCGGGAUGACGGCCUUCGGGUUGUAAACCGCUGUCGCCUGUGACGAAGCGUGAGUGACGGUAAUGGGUAAAGAAGCACCGGCUAACUACGUG